rnacentral:rRNA from 1 species
CAGUAGCCGCGGUAAUACGAAGGGUGCAAGCGUUACUCGGAAUUACUGGGCGUAAAGCGUGCGUAGGUGGUGGUUUAAGUCCGUUGUGAAAGCCCUGGGCUCAACCUGGGAAUUGCAGUGGAUACUGGGUCACUAGAGUGUGGUAGAGGAUAGUGGAAUUUCCGGUGUAGCAGUGAAAUGCGUAGAGAUCGGAAGGAACAUCUGUGGCGAAGGCGACCACCUGGACUGAUACUGACACUGAGGUGCGAAAGCGUGGGGAGCAAACAGGAUUAGAUACCCGCGUAGUCCCUGUCUCUUAUAC